rnacentral:pre_miRNA from 1 species
GUUAUACUCCCUCUGUCCCAUAUUAAGUGACGAAAUAUUACAUAUAUCUAGACGGUUUUUGAGUAUAGAUACAUUUAUAUUUAGACAAAUUUGAUUCACUUAAUAUGGGAUGGAGGGAGUAGUUG